CGCGGGGUCAUUAUUGCGGCGCGGGGGGCUGGGAAGCGUCAUGUGACCCCAGCUGUUAUAAAAUCAACCGUAACCGAUCGGCGCGACCGGAGCGUCUCCAGUACGACCCAUCCAACCGGUCGCCGCGCUCACCAGCCAAUCAGAGCGGCCCACCAGAUACGCCUUCGAAGAGUUAAUCAGCAGCAUCUGUGCAGCACACUAAUCCAAGUACACUACUACAGGUGCAAAUGCUGCUUUACGCUCUCCUCCAGACACCUUCUGCGCGGUUAGUGUGUAGUGUGUAGUGUGUAGUGCGCUGCGUCGCGUCGCGUCAGACGCGUGUGAGGGAUGGAUGCGGCGCGCGCGUGAGGGGGGCGGGAGCGCGUGGACCGCUCGAGCUCCUCUCGUUCGCUUCCUGACGCGAGAAAGACAAAAGAAUAAGAAAAACACAAGAACGGCAGAAGAGGAACGGACUGGUGCUCGCGGAAUCUCAAGGCCCGCUCGGUUCCGUGAGGAGAGAGCCGCGGCUCGGUGCAGGCGGAGCGGCGGAGCGCAGAACUCGAGGCCGGGGAUCAGACGGGCCUGUCCGAACAUCUUCCUGAUUCCAGAGAGAGAAAGACGCUAUCAUAUUGAGAGGAUCGGAUUAAAAGAGCAACUGGAUGGCAUGGACUGACCGCAGAAAACCUGAAGCUAGGACCAGCUACACUGAAAAACACCUUACAGUAACAGGCAAGGAUUGGACGAUCAAUGAAAACAACAAGCUUGCUGGACUGAAUAACUAACAUGGGAAAAGACAAAUGUUUGGAUACCGCUGGAAAAAAAUAGUUGGCAAAGAUCUUCGUGAAACCUGGCUUGAGCGCGUGCCGAAAAUCCCUGCUACACAGAAAAUAUGAAAAAAAGUCAUGAUCUUGAAGUAUUGAUCUUUCUCGAGCUAUUUGCAGUGUCAGUGAAUACAUGUGCCAACUGGAGAAAGAUUUUUGUUUGUUUGUCUGUUGCAAACCUGUUACUGAACUAUUAUAAUUCUACUGCAUGGCUGCUUUCCACAUCCGAUCACACAGUUACCAAAUGGCAAGGAGAUGUUUCACACUACAGUAUCAAAAUUCUCUUAAUGAAACUUAAUUGAGUUGCUAUUUUGGUGGAGUAUUUUUACCUCUUGGCUAAUAGACAUUUUGUGAUAACACUAAACCUUCAUUCAUCAUCUUUUUACAGAGAUCUUUGGAUCUAGUGCCAAACCACGCAGUGGCAAUUGUGACACCGUUUCUGUGAAUGAAUGUGCAGCUGCUGCAUUCACUUUGUUUUUACGUUUUAACUCAAGCAGCAAAUUGAAUCUCCUGGCUUUCUAAAUCUCACUUACGACAUUUGCUGGGGCCUCCUAUAUUGCUGCUACAGAUGUGAGUUUAGAUUUCUAAUACUAAGCAUUCCAGUUUGCCAUUUGGAUCCUUUUGAUAAGAAGGGUUGCUGAUAGCAGCAUUUG
rnacentral:lncRNA from 1 species